GGGACACGUGGUAUCCUGUCUGAAUAUGGGGGGACCAUCCUCCAAGGCUAAAUACUCCUGACUGACCGAUAGUGAACCAGUACCGUGAGGGAAAGGCGAAAAGAACCCCGGCGAGGGGAGUGAAAAAGAACCUGAAACCGUGUACGUACAAGCAGUGGGAGCACCUUCGGGUGUGACUGCGUACCUUUUGUAUAAUGGGUCAGCGACUUAUAUUCUGUAGCAAGGUUAACCGUAUAGGGGAGCCGCAGGGAAACCGAGUCUUAACUGGGCGUUAAGUUGCAGGGUAUAGACCCGAAACCCGGUGAUCUAGCCAUGGGCAGGUUGAAGGUUGGGUAACACUAACUGGAGGACCGAACCGACUAAUGUUGAAAAAUUAGCGGAUGACUUGUGGCUGGGGGUGAAAGGCCAAUCAAACCGGGAGAUAGCUGGUUCUCCCCGAAAGCUAUUUAGGUAGCGCCUCGUGAACUCAUCUUCGGGGGUAGAGCACUGUUUCGGCUAGGGGGUCAUCCCGACUUACCAACCCGAUGCAAACUACGAAUACCGAAGAAUGUUAUCACGGGAGACACACGGCGGGUGCUAACGUCCGUCGUGAAGAGGGAAACAACCCAGACCGCCAGCUAAGGUCCCAAAGUCAUGGUUAAGUGGGAAACGAUGUGGGAAGGCACAGACAGCCAGGAUGUUGGCUUAGAAGCAGCCAUCAUUUAAAGAAAGCGUAAUAGCUCACUGGUCGAGUCGGCCUGCGCGGAAGAUGUAACGGGGCUAAACCAUGCACCGAAGCUGCGGCAGCGACACUAUGUGUUGUUGGGUAGGGGAGCGUUCUGUAAGCCUGCGAAGGUGUGCUGUGAGGCAUGCUGGAGGUAUCAGAAGUGCGAAUGCUGACAUAAGUAACGAUAAAGCGGGUGAAAAGCCCGCUCGCCGGAAGACCAAGGGUUCCUGUCCAACGUUAAUCGGGGCAGGGUGAGUCGACCCCUAAGGCGAGGCCGAAAGGCGUAGUC
rnacentral:rRNA from 1 species